rnacentral:piRNA from 1 species
UAGAUUGUAAGCUUAAUGGCAGGA